UACGAAGGGGGCUAGCGUUGCUCGGAAUCACUGGGUUUAAAGGGUGCGUAGGCGGGCAGGUAAGUCCGUGGUGAAAUCUCUGAGCUUAACUCAGAAACUGCCAUGGAUACUAUUUGUCUUGAAUAUUGUGGAGGUAAGCGGAAUAUGUCAUGUAGCGGUGAAAUGCUUAGAUAUGACAUAGAACACCAAUUGCGAAGGCAGCUUACUACACAGUUAUUGACGCUGAGGCACGAAAGCGUGGGGAUCAAACAGG
rnacentral:rRNA from 1 species